UACGUAGGGUGCAAGCGUUGUCCGGAAUUAUUGGGCGUAAAGAGCUCGUAGGCGGUUUGUCGCGUCUGCUGUGAAAACCCGAGGCUCAACCUCGGGCCUGCAGUGGGUACGGGCAGACUGGAGUGCGGUAGGGGAGAAUGGAAUUCCUGGUGUAGCGGUGGAAUGCGCAGAUAUCAGGAGGAACACCGAUGGCGAAGGCAGUUCUCUGGGCCGUAACUGACGCUGAGGCACGAAAGCGUGGGGAGCAAACAGG
rnacentral:rRNA from 1 species